CUUCGUCGUUUCUCUCUCCUCCAUUUUCGCCGUCGUGGUUCGACGCGUUGGCGUCGGGCGUGUAGGCGGAGGCGGAGGAGACGGGGGCGACGGACUCCGACGCCGACGGAGGCAACCGGCGGAGGGGCGUCGGCGUCGGGGUUUGCUGGAAGAGAGGCGCGACUUCGAGGACGAGAGAGAGAGAGCGGACUAGAGGUCGCGAGAGGGAGGCGGAGGGGCGUCGGCGUCAGAGUCGGGUUCAGGGGAGGAAGCGGAGGCUGCGUCGGCGUCAGAGUCGGGUUCAGGGGAGGAAGCGAAGGCUGCGUCGGCGUCGGC
rnacentral:lncRNA from 1 species